rnacentral:rRNA from 1 species
AAUGAACGCUGGCGGCAGGCCUAACACAUGCAAGUCGAACGGAUCCUUCGGGAUUAGUGGCGGACGGGUGAGUAACGCGUGGGAACAUACCCAAAGGUACGGAAUAGCCUCGGGAAACUGGGAGUAAUACCGUAUGUGCUCGGAAGAGGAAAGAUUUAUCGCCUUUGGAUUGGCCCGCGGUGGAUUAGGUAGUUGGUGGGGUAAUGGCCUACCAAGCCGACGAUCCAUAGCUGGUUUGAGAGGAUGAUCAGCCACACUGGGACUGAGACACGGCCCAGACUCCUACGGGAGGCAGCAGUGGGGAAUCUUAGACAAUGGGGGAAACCCUGAUCUAGCCAUGCCGCGUGAUCGAUGAAGGCCUUAGGGUUGUAAAGAUCUUUCAGGUGGGAAGAUAAUGACUGUACCACCAGAAGAAGCCCCGGCUAACUCCGUGCCAGCAGCCGCAGUAA